CCGAGUUUACAACUCCCAAACCCAAUGCGAACAUACCUCAAGUUGCUUCGGCGGGAACGCCCCGGCGCGCCCUCCGACCCUCCCGCCCGCGGGGGGAUCGGGGAGCCUAGCCCGGACCCAGGCGCCCGCCGGAGGUACCCAACUCUUGCCUUCAGUAUAUUCUUCUGAGUGGCAAACGCAAAAAUAAAUCA
rnacentral:misc_RNA from 1 species